AUGCAGAAAGCUUUACUAAAAAGAGCCAGAUUUGCAGUCUCCUAUCCUGGCUCCAACCGUAAGCAGGGACAAGGAAGUGAAAGGACCUCUCUUUGGAACAAAUGUCUGUGCUGGAUCUGGCCUCUGAGCAAGAAGAAG
rnacentral:lncRNA from 1 species